rnacentral:rRNA from 1 species
UGCGGUUAUACAAAUAGUAUAAUUUAAUUUUUUCAAUGUUAAUUAAUUUAAUAAUUANAAUUUUAAUUAAAAAUUUAUUAGAUGAAAUUUUAUAUUUUUGAUAAAAUUUAUAUAAAUAAAUGAGGUUAGAAAAUUUAUUUUAAAAACUAGGAUUAGAUACCCUAUUAUUUUAAAUGUGAGUUUAUUAGUUGAAUUAGUAUUAGUUAUUUUCUUGAAAAUUAAAAAUUUUGGCGGUAUUUUAUUCUAUUCAGAGGAACUUGUUUUGUAAAUGAUAUUCCACGAUUAAAUUUACUUUUAUUAUUAAUUUAUAUAUCGUCGUAUUUAAAUAUUUUUUUAGGAUUUAAAUAUUUAAUAAUUUAAAUUAAAUAAUUUAUCAGAUCAAGGUGUAGUUUAUAUAAGAGUAAAAAUGAGUUACAAUAAAUAUAUUUUAGGAAAUUAAAUUUUGAAUUUAUUUGAAUAUGGAUUUGAGAGUAAAAUUAUUUAUAUAAGUAAUUUGAUUUUAGAAAUAAAAUAUGU